GUGCCUUAACCAACACGCCAGCUGCUGGCCCCUUCAAGAGCACUUUAAAAACAGCAGAAAAAGCUAUGUUGCAGGACAGGCACCCUACAGCAAAAAUCUCUCCAAAAAAGAACGGAUGCUUCUGGAUCAUCCAAGCCACAGACCACACAGGGGCUCACAGCCCAACAAAGCAGGAGCACUGAAAAAGUGGCGAGAAAUGUUCUCUGGAAAAAUGAUCCGUGAUUAUGAAAAAUGCCUCCUGCUGUCACGGAGAGGAUGCGAGGGCCUCCUCGCUGCCCCGCACGGCUACAUACCAUCUCCACUUGGUCUAACAUCGGCCUUCCCUAAUCUCGGCACUUACAGGAGGUAUGGGUCUUCAUCUGGCCGAGGCUUUGUUCUUCACUUAGGGCCUGGGAAUACCACAGCCUGUCACACAGCUUCCAGGUGACCGAGAGGAGCCUCCGACCUGGUCUGCCAACAAGUCUAAGCAGUACCGGUCCCAGAACUCCACCAUUAUCACCAGAGUGCUGCCUGAUGACUCAGAGCAGCAGAGGUGGUGACCAAACCCAGCCGGCCCACCGGCUCAGGACCCAGCACACCGCAGCUUUCUGGUAGGUGCCCUGGAGGGUGGGGAUUCUGCUGCAGGCCCUGGCCAGGUGUUCCCUCCCUUUGCAGCACUAUAUUGAAGUGCAACCUCCAACACCUCAAAAAGAGACUGUGUCUGGGAGAACGCUGACAAGGCAGAGACAGAGACAGAGGUCUUUUGUGGGGUCCUAGAAAUGGGCACGUUUUCAUUUUGUGCAAUCUAUUUCCAAGUCCCCUCAUGGAGACACAAAAAGGCUCCUGCCACCAUGCCAGCCUGGCUCUUCUCUCUCCUCCCCACUCAGGGCCAAGGUCCUCUGCAGAGUUCCCCUCUGCAGAGCUGCCUCUCAGCAGCAACCCUCAACACGCAGGACAAAGACGCCAGAGUAAAACGCCAUGACUUUAA